AUCACAUUGAAUCUCGUAUAAAAAUCAUAUCGUUAAUUCUAAAUGACAUUUUAGAAAAUGCACAAUUUCCGAGCUCAGCGAGUCUAUAAAAAAAAUAGUUGUAAUUUUUGGAACCAGAGAUCUCUAAAAUCGUUGACCACAAUCCCAUCAUGCAACGCUUACCGCCAUCUUACACGUGCGACCCACGAAGAAAAAACAGACGAAAGCCGCAUUUAUUAUGGGUAAACUACAAGUAACUACACAUUUUCCCACAUUGGUCUACAAGAGAGACCUCCUAAGAUGCUGCAUUCAGAAUAAAGACAUCGUUCAGUAAA